GAUGAACGCUGGCGGCGUGCCUAAUACAUGCAAGUCGAGCGAACGGACGAGAAGCUUGCUUCUCUGAUGUUAGCGGCGGACGGGUGAGUAACACGUGGAUAACCUACCUAUAAGACUGGGAUAACUUCGGGAAACCGGAGCUAAUACCGGAUAAUAUUUUGAACCGCAUGGUUCAAAAGUGAAAGACGGUCUUGCUGUCACUUAUAGAUGGAUCCGCGCUGCAUUAGCUAGUUGGUAAGGUAACGGCUUACCAAGGCAACGAUGCAUAGCCGACCUGAGAGGCGGAUCGGCCACACUGGAACUGAGACACGGUCCAGACUCCUACGGGAGGCAGCAGUAGGGAAUCUUCCGCAAAGGGCGAAAGCCUGACGGAGCAACGCCGCGUGAGUGAUGAAGGUCUUCGGAUCGUAAAACUCUGUUAUUAGGGAAGAACAUAUGUGUAAGUAACUGUGCACAGCUUGACGGUACCGAAUCAGAAAGCCACGGCUAACUACGUG
rnacentral:rRNA from 1 species